GAUCCUGGCUCAGGACGAACGCUGGCGGCGUGCUUAACACAUGCAAGUCGAACGGAGCACCCCUGAAUGAGGUUUCGGCCAAAGGAAGGGAAUGCUUAGUGGCGGACUGGUGAGUAACGCGUGAGGAACCUGCCUUUCAGAGGGGGACAACAGUUGGAAACGACUGCUAAUACCGCAUGACACAUAGAAGUGGGGCACUCCCAUUGAUGUACAAAGUAUUUAUCGCUAGAAAGAUCGGCCUCGCCG
rnacentral:rRNA from 1 species